AAAAAUGGUCACCACAAUACAUAUCACAUUAGUAAUUCACCAUAAAGGAAGACUUCAAAGGGGAUCAGAUAGAAAGUUGUCAUAUGUAGACGAUGAAACUACUAAAAUGCAAAGAGUAAAUGUUGAUACACUUAAUGGGUUUUUCAUCAAUGACCUACUUAAGGACAUAUGUUAUCCUUUGAUAUAUGACUUUUAUUGGCUAUAGUCUAGGACGGAUAUGGAUGAUGGAUUGAGAAUUUUGACGUUUGAUUUGGAUAUUGUAAGGAUGUAUAAAGCUAUUGUGAAGAAUGAGAACAGAGUUGAAUUAUAUACAGAACACCCAGUUAGUGAGCCAGUUGUUGUAGAAGAUGCUGAUAAAGAGGAUCAGGCCCAAGAAGUUGACAAGGCCCAAAAUAAACCUAGCCAAAGUUCAGUUAGCCUUGCUCCCAAUUCUGAAACCAACGACCAACCUGUUGAGAACUCUAUGAGAAACCCUCAUACGGCUAAUAUCGUUUUCCAACCUCCACAAACACCUUCCCAACCACAUGAACAUACUAAUCUAAACCCACCUCAGAAGCCAAAGUCUGUAGAAUCUACUACACCAAAACUAAUCCAGUAGCUUCCAACUCUACUGAAUUUCACAGUUUGGGUUCUGGUACUACAUUAUCCCAAGGUCCCAACCACAACUCACCUAGAUCCACUACGAAUCCGACCUCUGGGGAGGUUCCACCAGCUGAAUACCUAACUCAAUAUGUACCAAUUCUCCACAUUGAUCCUCUCUCACAGUUAGAAACCAUGGCACAACCCACACUACCGUCUGUGACUGUCAAUGCUCUGGAAGGCCAAAACAAUAGCAAUGAAGAAGAUGUGUCUGGAAGUAAGAAGGUUAGAAAAAAAAGAUCCACAAAAGACCUCCCCCAUUGGCCAAGCCUUUGUAUCGAAUGCUGAUCCAUCACGACCUCCAUCAAUUUUUAUUCCGGUUGAUAAGGAAGACUACCCAGAUGAGGAUGCGGGGAACCAUUCUUACGAGUCUGAGGACUUGCAAAGCCAUGCAAGUGAAUCUGAUGGUAAAGUUCCGGUGUUUUCCCAGGGCAAUGUAGAUGUCCCUGUUAGAUAGGUUCGCUUGGAGUUAAAAAUGGAGUUUGAGACACUUACACAGUUAAAAAAUGUGCAAAAGUUCAACAUAAAUCUAGAGAGAAAUAUUUUCUUUCAAAGGAUAUAUUUGGAGGGAUCCAAGGCCAUAUGUGAUGAUAAAAAUUGUCCAUGGAAAAUAUAUUGUGCUAAAAGAAGUUUUUCAGCAAGUUAUCAAGUGAAGACUUUCGUAAAUGAGCACACUUGCGAGAGAAAGAUGCACUGCAAACUGCUGAUGAAAAAUGGGUGGUAGAUGAAUUGGAGGAAAAGCUUUAGAAUCAUCCUGAGAUGACUGUUAAAAAGACAAAAACUUUUUUAAGAAAGAAUAUGAUGUCCUUGUCAAUGAGAGAAAGAUCUAUAGGUCAAUGGCUAAGGCAAGGGAGCAAAUUGAGGGUUCAAAGGCUGUCAAUAUGCAAGGCUGUGCAAUCAUGCCAAUGAGAUAUUGAGAACUAAUCCAUGAUCAACAGUUAAGAUACAUACAACUCCUAUGGCUGAUUUACAAAGUUUUAUUUUCAAGAGAAUUUAUCUUUGUUUGGACGCAUGUAAAAGGGGUUUUGUUUAGAGGGAUGCAGACCUUUUAUUAGGCUAGAUGGAACUUUUUUGAGAGGUUAUUAUGGGGGCAGUUUCUUACUAUGAUUGGCAAAGACGCCAAUAAUCGUAUUUUUUUCAUAGCUUAUGCAAUUGUGAAGUCCGAAAAUAAGGACAGAUGGCAGUGGUUUUUGGAGCUCCUGUAAGAUGAUCUUGGUGAUCAUAGAGUUAACGGAUUCAACUUAAUGUCAGAUAUGCAAAAGGGUCUUAUUCCAGCCGUGCAAGAUAUCAUGUCUAAUGCUCAUCAUAGAUAUUGUGCCAUGCAUAUAUGGGAGAAUUUUAGGAAGUAAUGGAAGGAUAAGAAAAUGAAAGCAGCAAUGUGGGCUUGUGCCAAAUCUACUACUCUUCAAGCAUUCACAGCGGCAAUGGAUAGACUUAAACGGCUAAAUCACAGGGUUGAGAGUAUUUGAAUAAGAUUAGCCCUCAACAAUGGUCCAAAUUUCACUUUAGUGAGUACCCUAAAGUGGACAACUUGACAAAUAACAAUUGCAAAACUUUCAAUGAAAAUAUAAAGAAGAUGAGGGAAAAGUCAAUUAUCACAAUACUGGAGGAGGUUAAGGGUUAUGUAAUGAGAAUUUUAGCAAGAAAUAAGAAGACGGUAGUGGGUUAUGUGGGUAGACUUACACCAGUUCAGCAGAGUAGACUGGAAAGAGAAAAGAGAUAAGAGAGAAAUAAAUUAUUGGAGGCCAUUUCCUUUCGGGGAUAACAAAAGAAACCUAUCUGAAGUUACUGAUGAAGGUCAGUGUUGAUUUGGGCAAGAAAACUUGUAGCUGCAGGAUAUGGCAGCUAACUCGCCUACCAUGUAAGCAUGUGUGUACUGCCAUUGCAUACCGAAAUCAGAGGCCUAAAGCGUAUGCACACAACUGGCUGACAAUGGGAGCAUAUAUCGCAGCGUAUUAAUGAACUGUUCAGCCUAUACCAAGCCAAAAAUAUUGGAAAACAGGAGGAUACACACCCAUACUGCCUCAAAUUUAUAGGAAACCAAUUGGAAGACCUACCAAAAAAUGAGAUACCAAUAGGGAUGGUCCUAGAAUAAACCCCGAUCCCCAUAGAACAAAGAAAAGAUAUGGUCCUAUCACUUACAAAUACUGUUUCAAGGUAUAAUGUAUUCAUAGUUGUUCCAUCAAGUCGUUGCAUUUAUAUAUGUAGAUGUGUUAGAAUUGGUAAUUUGUCAUUUUGUUUUUGUUCAUACUGGACAUAAUAGUAAGAAAUAUGAUAGAAAAAAGGAGGCAAUAGCAAGGGGAGAUGCAGCAACAUCUGGAGAAGGGCUGCAAGGCCAAGCUACAACAACAACAGAGCAUGGUGCAGUUGUUGAUGCUUUAGAUAAAUAGACUGUGAAGGAGCAAGAGAUGCAUUGAAAAAAGACAUUAGAGGAGGCAGACACUGAGGUAGCAGCAAAUGAGGUAAAUAUUUGAGUAAUUCAGUAACUAAGCAACCAAUAAGUAGUUUAAUUAUUUUAAAAUAUGGCAUCUUAAAUGUUGACAUUUUUUUAGCAGGUCACUGUGAAUAACUUGAAACUAGUGUCAAUUCCAAUUAUAUCUCCACCAACUAGGCCACUAACUUCAUCUGUUAUUAGGACUACCAACUAUA